AUUCUCUACUCUCACAUAGCUCUUUGUCGGGUUCGCCCAGCAUCGUUUUUGUGGCCAAUUUGGGCAGUAAGGGCAUCACCGUUGAUCUUGACCAGUUUGACCAGACCUUGCCAACGCAUUUGACCCUGAAAAUACGCAGCAUUAGCUCCACCAAGGCAGAGGGUUCUCUGUUUGAGACGAAAGGCCUCAGUUUGGCCGCUGGGGAGGCGCUGGUAAUGAGCACCGAUUAAGCGCAGCAAAGUUCUUCAACCUUUGCAUAUAUAUAUAUAGGUAUAUAUUUUUAAGCUUAACCAAUUAAAUUUUACAAUCGCACACUUGAAAAACUUUCGACAGCUUUUCGUCUUCUUGGUAUUCUUAUGGCUGCAAAGCAAAUAUGCCGCUACUUGUAUAAAUAAAUAAGCAAAUAAAUCGACAAACAAACCACACACACACAC